CCGUCCCCGCCGGAGGAUGUGGGCCGCCGUGCAGGGGCAAGCGCGGGCGUCGGUGGUGGAGGGCGCUGGGCAGCCGCGCAAGCAUCGAGAUUCCUUUCUCCGUCACCGCUCCGCGCUUCUCCCCCAAGGCGGGCUGGCCAGCCACCACAGAGCUCGUCGAGGACGCCCUCCUCCGCGUCGGGCCUGACGACCCCAUGCUUGUCUGCAGGAGGUGGCUCCAACUCGUCUGCGGCCCUGGCACCCGCCCCAUGUUCCGUGAGUUCCACCGCGCGCCCCCGCGGCUGGUCUUCCUCGGCAACAAGGCGAGCUCCAACCGCUUCGCCCCCACUUCGUCCGUCCGCCCGCCCGCCCCGCGCCGACCUCGGCGGCUGGGCAGCGCUCCACUGGCGGGCGUUGUUGGUCGCCACCUGGGGUUUUGCCUCUGCAUCGUCUUGGUCUCCUGGAUGCCAUCGCCUUCACCUGGCCGUAAAAGCCGAGCAGCACCCGCGCCAGGCCAUCUCCCACUCUCAAGAAUUAUGUCGCUCCUGAUCCCCUUCCUUUGUAACAUGGUACACAUGAUGAUGCAAUUGCCAAUGUUCAGUUCAGUUUUAUCAAUGCUCAGACAGCUCGUUCGUGAAGAAUAAUGGAUCAGGCUAUGCCUGUUCAGUGUUCACGCGUUGAGAGUUUGUCUUGCUUGUUCAUGCGUCUGAUUCAAUUUUUCAGUUCAAGCAUAAAUAAUUGCUCUAGGCUUUGGAACAGAUGGAGUCUGUUGUCAAAGCAUUUUGUACCCAGAGGAUUUAACCGAUGUCUCCGGCCCUCCAGAGUUUAUGAGGCACAGGGUUGCCGAGCCUCAUGAAGGGAUGGAGGCCCUUGCUGUACUCGAUCGCCGCAGGAAGGAGGUUGCAUUGGAAGCGCUUGUAGUGACCUUAGACUUCUUCACAAAGGUGAUCCUACAAAUUCGACAAGAGCUUCUUAACCUUAAGCAAAUUGGAAUGAUUCAUAAUUCUGAAGGUAUGAUCGAGGGGCUGAGCGUUUGACCAAACAAACGGCGGGGUCUAGCAAAGGGACACAGUAGAGUUAACUAGAGAAUUGGAUUCAAAGGAAGGGUUAGAGCAACUUCUAGCAUUGCAGCAGUAUACCUGCUUACUGGUUGCCUGGUUGGAUGUCUGCUUGAAGGAGCUGCAAAUAACAACUACUUGGUGAAACACGCACUAGCUUAAGUAAGUUUUGCUCUUUUGUUCGAUUUGUCUGUGCUAUUGUGUGCCACAGCUGCGCUUUUAGGUUUGAAAGCAAUGAUUUUUUAACAUAGAAUUCUAAUUACAUGUCCAAAUGAUAUUGGUGGAAACCUAAAAAAUAGGACGAUUCAAUGGCUUGAUACCCUGCUAUAUGCUUUCUCAAUACCAUUGCAUGUUCUUAUUGUACUAGACAAUAAAAAAUGAUUUCAUGAAAUGACCUAUAUUGGGUUUACUGCUGAGAUAACCUGUAUUAGUUCCUGCAAAAAAAUAUUUCCUUUCAAACCUAAAAGCGCGGUUACCUCCAUACCCAAAGCCUGUGGCAGGUCUUCUUGAAUGAAAUGUUGUUGUUUGCUCUUAUAUAAAAAAAAGAUGUUUUACAUUCCUUGUAUUUCUUAAACUGUACAAAUAAAAAUUGCAUUUAUCCUUUCACUGAAAAAUAGAUGAUAGACAAACUUGCAUUAAUAGCUUUUUCUGUGUUGAUUCCAUUUGCACCUUAUUCAAAACUGAAACUGCUUAUUCAUCCGGUGUUAGAUAUCUGUUAGGUUGUUACGACAUGUAUUGCUGAUCAGAUAUCAUUUGGUUAGAAUCAGGUGGAUGUGGUUAUAGUAUGGAGGAUGUGGGGAUAAUUCUUUUCAUUAUCAGGCUUUGGGUUUUCUUCAGCCAUCUCAAAAUCCUGGAUAUGACAUCUCUAUUUUUCUUUGGUGUUUUGAGUACACAACUUGAGGAUUAUUUCAUGAAAAAAAACACUUGAUUAGAAGUGGUUCGGACCCCACCUAGCCAUAGCACAGGGUGCCCAAGAAGCUACAGAGCUGAGAAUUUCAGAAGUCGCACCACAGCCCUCGGUUUAUAUCCAUUUCAAUGCACAGUGCACUUAUUAGGUAAUGCCAUCUGUUUAACAUAGAUUUAGACAUAUGUGCAAACUAUAAUUUCUUACCCCGCUCAUUUUUGUGAGUUAUUCUCCUUUCAGGAGAAUUAGGGUACUAAGUGAACAGAACACACCAAACACCGUCCAAUGGUAAUGUUGGUAUUAAUGUUGGAUCGUCAGCGUGGCUUUCCUGGUUCGCCUUGUGAGCUGAUUAUAAGGUGGUCCCUCACAAUAAGCCCAAAAAGGUACACGAAUUUCACUGCUCAUUGAGGUGGAUCUGUCAGACAACGGUAUAAGUGCUCUAACAGGAAAGCUGUUAUGGUUGUUGUCUGAGGCUGGAGGAUGGAUCUAUUAGAAUAAACCAUGCCAUGGUGUGUGCUUGGCGUGCAUCGUCGCGCGUGAGUGCGUGCGUUCAUUAUUGAGUCAUUAAGGUUGCUCUAGGGUCUGAUUGAGUCCGUAGCAUGUCCGCUGGCGCACGAAGUUCGUGCUCGUGUUCACGUCCAGUGUCGAGUAGGAUGGUGCGUGUGUGUGCUUGUGCCUGCAGGUCGAGUUAGGGUCGGGGCGUCGGUGUGGCCACGUUCCAGGUUGUGUCCAGCAUAUUGUUUAGCAUGUGCACGGGCUAACAUGUUAGUUACGAAGGUGCAGGGAUGGCUUAGAGGUGGCAGUUGGCGGCAGUAGCGGAGGAGCACAACGAGUCACGGGAUCAGCAUGGAAGACCGGUUUU